GACGAACGCUGGCGGCGUGCCUAAUACAUGCAAGUAGAACGCUGAAGGAGGAGAUUGCUAUCCUGGAGGAGUUGAGCAAGGGUGAGUGAAGCGCAGGGAAACUGCCUGGUAGCGGGGGGUUACUCUUGGAAACGCUAGCUAUUACCGCAUAAGAGUAGAUGUUGCAUGACAUUUACUUAUAAGGUGCAAUUGCGCCACUACCAGAUGGGAUUGCGUUGUAUUAGCUAGUUGGUGGGGUAACGGCUCACCAAGGCGAUGAUACAUAGCCGACCUGAGAGGGUGAUCGGCCACACUGGGACUGAGACACGGCCCAGACUCCUACGGGAGGCAGCAGUAGGGAAUCUUCGGCAAUGGACGGAAGUCUGACCGAGCAACGCCGCGUGAGUGAAGAAGGUUUUCGGAUCGUAAAGCUCUGUUGGAAGAGAAGAACGAUGGUGAGAGUGGAAAGUUCACACUGUGACGGUAUCUAACCAGAAAGGGACGGCUAACUACGUG
rnacentral:rRNA from 1 species